AUGACAAGAACGGAAUUUGAAUGAAAACAACAAAAUUUGAAUGAAAACAACAGGAUUAGAAGGAAAACAACAGAAUUUGAAAGAAAAAAACAGAAUUAGAAUGACAAGAAUGGAAGUUGAAUGAAAACACCGGAAGUUGAAAGAAAACAACAAAAUUUGAAGGAAAACAACAUAAUUUGAAUGAAAACAACAGAAUUAGAAUGAAAACAACAUAAUUUGAAUGAAGACAACAGAAUUAGAAUGAAAACAAAAGAAUUUGAAUGAAAAAACAGAAUUAGAAUGACAAGAAUGGAAUUUGAAUGAAAACACCGGAAGUUGAAAGAAAACAACAUAAUUUGAAUGAAAACAACAGAAUUAGAAUGAAAACAACAUAAUUUGAACGAAAACAAAUGAAUUAGAAUGACAAGAACGGAAUUUGAAUGAAAACACCGGAAGUUGAAAGAAAACAACAUAAUUUGAAUGAAAACAACAGAAUUAGAAUGAAAACAACAAAAUUUGAACGAAAACAACAGAAUUAGAAUGACAAGAAUGGAAUUUGAAUGAAAACAACAGAAUUAGAAUGAAAACAACAGAAUUUGAAUGAAAACAACAGAAUUAGAAUGAAAACAACAUAAUUUGAAUGAAAACAACAGAAUUAGAAUGACAAGAACAGAAUUAGAAUGAAAACAAAAGAAUUUGAAUGAAAAAACAGAAUUAGAAUGACAAGAAUGGAAGUUGAAUGAAAACACCGGAAGUUGAAAGAAAACAACAUAAUUUGAAUGAAAACAACAGAAUUAGAAUGAAAACAACAGAAUUUGAAAGAAAAAAACAGAAUUAGAAUGACAAGAAUGGAAGUUGAAUGAAAACACCGGAAGUUGAAAGAAAACAACAGAAUUAGAAUGACAAGAACGGAAUUUGAAUGAAAAGAACUGGAUUAGAAGGACACAGAUUUACAAUUUUUUGUAGUACUAUGCUAAAAAGCAACUACAGAGCGAAAGUCUGGGUCAAGCGCCGAGGUGACGGCAACAACAAAGGAACCCUCGAAGCGUUAAAGCUAGCUUUGUAAGGGAAUAUAACGGAAAAGUAUGAAACGAAAAUGUUUUCUUUGUUGAUAGACUUUGUUUGCAGUGCAAUUUAUUUGUUGCCGGGUUGUAAGAUGAAAGUAGACACAAUUUCGGGCUCCUACAUUUUAUCCGAAACUUUACAUUAACAAGGUUUUUUUUUUGUUUUUUUUUACUGUUAUUCAAAUGCAACCGUGGAAAUAACGAAUAGAACAAAAGUCAUUCAUUCUUACCUUAUACUAAUUGUGGUGCAGGCCAGUGCAGUGCAUGAACUGAUGCCUUCUCCGGUCAAUUCCGCUGAGAGUAAAUCUAAUGUCCCGCUCUACUGUACAAGACAAUGGUUACCUGGAGGGAUGUACCAAUGUGAUAGGGGUGCUGCGGAAUAGUCCAAGUGGUUGCAGCUUUAAUUUCCCACUCAACCAUAAAUCGAUGGUUUUUCAACGUGAUUGUUGUCACCUUGUCAACUAUAAAUAGAUCAAAAAUCAACGAUGACAGAACAACAGUGAAUCAAUGUUAUUUCAAUGUCAGUGUCUGGUUUCAUCAGUAUUUCAAUGUUGUUUCAACUAGAGAUGGCACGAUACCACUUUUUUAUGUCCGAUACCGAUAUCAUAAAUUUGGAUAUCUGCCGAUACCGAUAUGAAUCCGAUAUAGUGUUUUUUAAUCAACAAAACUGUUUUUUUUUAAAUAUCUUGCUGCAUUUUGUAUAAGUUCAUACUCAAGUUUAAAACAACAACUACACUAAAGCUAUUCUGUUAUACCUGUAUGCAAAAAAAAAAAAUAAAAUUUCAUAGUUCAGCAAUACUGAUCAAUCUAAUAAACUUAAACCUACACCAUCCUCACUAUUCUGGUAUUUUAAAGAGUACUUAGCGUAAAUAUUAAGCAACCUAACUAAUAGGGUUCCAACUCCCAGCAACAACAAAAAUAAAUAAAUAAAAAAUAGGGAACCACCCCUCACACUCCACCUCAUGAUGCUUAAUCAACGUAAUCAACCUUAAUUUGAUGCAGUGUGAAAAAAAAAUGCACAGAAAUCAAUUAUUUUUCAAGAAAUAUUAAAUAGAUUCAACAUCUUUCUUCAACAAAAUUGCAGACUGCACAGAUGGUACCUUCCCAAAGGAAAAAGUACUAUAGCUUACUGGGGUAUAUAUAUUAGACUUAAUAGUCACUAUAUACAGUAAUUGACUUCUAUUCAUUUUACAUCAAAUUAAAACUUUGGGUGUAAGAUUCGGAUAAUUAUUUAUUAAAAGCUAGACAUUUUAAAUGAGAAUAAGAAAGAAAAGUAUGUCUUUGUGCCCCCUUUUCCCUGUUAAUGCCCUAUCGGCCCC
ensembl:lncRNA